GACGAACGCUGGCGGCGUGCUUAACACAUGCAAGUCGAACGGAAAGGCCCUGCUUUUGUGGGGUGCUCGAGUGGCGAACGGGUGAGUAACACGUGAGUAACCUGCCCUUGACUUUGGGAUAACUUCAGGAAACUGGGGCUAAUACCGGAUAGGAGCUCCUGCUACAUGGUGGGGGUUGGAAAGUUUCGGCGGUUGGGGAUGGACUCGCGGCUUAUCAGCUUGUUGGUGGGGUAGUGGCUUACCAAGGCUUUGACGGGUAGCCGGCCUGAGAGGGGGACCGGCCACAUUGGGACUGAGAUACGGACCAGACGCCUACGGGAGGCAGCAGUGGGGAAUAUUGCACAAUGGGCGGAAGCCUGAUGUAGCAACGCCGCGUGCGGGAUGACGGCCUUCGGGUUGUAAACCGCUUUCGCCUGUGACGAAGCGUGAGUGACGGUAAUGGGUAAAGAAGCACCGGCUAACUACGUG
rnacentral:rRNA from 1 species